rnacentral:rRNA from 1 species
GACGAACGCUGGCGGCGUGCCUAAUACAUGCAAGUUGAGCGCUGAAGGUUGGUACUUGUACCAACUGGAUGAGCAGCGAACGGGUGAGUAACGCGUGGGGAAUCUGCCUUUGAGCGGGGGACAACAUUUGGAAACGAAUGCUAAUACCGCAUAAAAACUUUAAACACAAGUUUUAAGUUUGAAAGAUGCAAUUGCAUCACUCAAAGAUGAUCCCGCGUUGUAUUAGCUAGUUGGUGAGGUAAAGGCUCACCAAGGCGAUGAUACAUAGCCAACCUGAGAGGGUGAUCGGCCACAUUGGGACUGAGACACGGCCCAAACUCCUACGGGAGGCAGCAGUAGGGAAUCUUCGGCAAUGGACGAAAGUCUGACCGAGCAACGCCGCGUGAGUGAAGAAGGUUUUCGGAUCGUAAAACUCUGUUGGUAGAGAAGAACGUUGGUGAGAGUGGAAAGCUCAUCAAGUGACGGUAACUACCCAGAAAGGGACGGCUAACUACGUG